rnacentral:rRNA from 1 species
AACGAACGCUGGCGGCAUGCCUAACACAUGCAAGUCGAACGAGACCUUCGGGUCUAGUGGCGCACGGGUGCGUAACGCGUGGGAACCUGCCCUUAGGUUCGGAAUAACUCCCCGAAAGGGGUGCUAAUACCGGAUAAUGUCUUCGGACCAAAGAUUUAUCGCCUUUGGAUGGGCCCGCGUUGGAUUAGCUAGUAGGUAGGGUAAAAGCCUACCAAGGCGACGAUCCAUAGCUGGUCAGAGAGGAUGAUCAGCCACACUAGGACUGAGACACGGCCCAGACUCCUACGGGAGGCAGCAGUGGGGAAUAUUGAACAAUGGGCGAAAGCCUGAUCCAGCAAUGCCGCGUGAGUGAUGAAGGCCUUAGGGUUGUAAAGCCCUUUUACCCGGGAUGAUAAUGACAGUACCGGGAGAAUAAGCUCCGGCUAACUCCGUG